rnacentral:rRNA from 1 species
GACGAACGCUGACGGCGUGCUUAACACAUGCAAGUCGAACGGAAAGGCCCUGCUUUUGUGGGGUGCUCGAGUGGCGAACGGGUGAGUAACACGUGAGUAACCUGCCCUUGACUUUGGGAUAACUUCAGGAAACUGGGGCUAAUACCGGAUAGGAGCUCCUGCUGCAUGGUGGGGGUUGGAAAGUUUCGGCGGUUGGGGAUGGACUCGCGGCUUAUCAGCUUGUUGGUGGGGUAGUGGCUUACCAAGGCUUUGACGGGUAGCCGGCCUGAGAGGGUGACCGGCCACAUUGGGACUGAGAUACGGCCCAGACUCCUACGGGAGGCAGCAGAGGGGAAUAUUGCACAAUGGGCGGAAGCCUGAUGCAGCAACGCCGCGUGCGGGAUGACGGCCUUCGGGUUGUAAACCGCUUUCGCCUGUGACGAAGCGUGAGUGACGGUAAUGGGUAAAGAAGCACCGGCUAACUACGUG